ACAGAAGCUCACAAAAGAAGCGCCAUGGAGAUCUUAUCUGGGGCGAGGGGGCACGUGCCAGCAGAGAGGGCUCUGCAUGCCACCUGUAGCACACGUACCAUAGGUUGAGCAGCCCAGGAAUAUCAUGCCAACAAAACUAAGAUCCGUUCUUGACUGCUCAUAUUCCAGCUUACUCGAUUUCAGAUGCAGUGGAUAAAAUCUGGGUAUACUUGGUGCAGAUGCAGCAGUUCAAUGGCUUAAAGAUGCUGGAGAUGUUCUUUGCUCUGGCGGUUCGAGUCCUACACUACAUGGUGGCGUGAGCUCCCAUCACUUGCCUCAACCUCUGCACAUCUGGCAGUUCGAAAGCAUACUACAUGCAAGUAGAUAAAUAGGUAUCACUUCGGUGGGAAAUGUGGCAGUGUUUUCUUGUGUAAGUUUGGACCCUGCUGGACCUGCCCGAAUAUGACACCCAACUGCAAUGGUGAGAGAAGGCCACAGAUGGCACCACAGGAACUUGUUUGCCCCCUGUGAUGCAUCUUGGAUAUGCACACGAGUGUGAACUAAAAGGACUAAUACUCUUCCACAGUCAAAUAACUGCUAUAUAGUAACAUUGUAACCUUUUAGCUAAUUGUACCAUUGCCAAACACUAAAUACCCUGUUUCCCUGAAAAUAAGACCUCCCCGGAUAAUAAGACAAAUCGGGCUUUUGAGUGCAUGUGC